rnacentral:rRNA from 1 species
UACGGGGGGAGCAAGCGUUGUUCGGAUUUACUGGGCGUAAAGGGCGCGUAGGCGGCCAGCACAAGUCAGUUGUGAAAUCUCCGGGCUUAACUCGGAAAGGUCAACUGAUACUGUGCGACUAGAGUGCGGAAGGGGCAACUGGAAUUCUCGGUAGAGCGGUGAAUCGUAGAUAUAUUGGAACGCCAAUGGUGAAAACAGGUUGACUGGGGCUGAAUACUG